GACGAACGCUGGCGGCGUGCCUAAUACAUGCAAGUAGAACGCUGAAGAGAGGAGCUUGCUCUUCUUGGAUGAGUUGCGAACGGGUGAGUAACGCGUAGGUAACCUGCCUGGUAGCGGGGGAUAACUAUUGGAAACGAUAGCUAAUACCGCAUAAAAUGGAUUAUCGCAUGAUAAUCCAUUGAAAGGUGCAAAUGCAUCACUACCAGAUGGACCUGCGUUGUAUUAGCUAGUUGGUGGGGUAACGGCUCACCAAGGCGACGAUACAUAGCCGACCUGAGAGGGUGAUCGGCCACACUGGGACUGAGACACGGCCCAGACUCCUACGGGAGGCAGCAGUAGGGAAUCUUCGGCAAUGGACGGAAGUCUGACCGAGCAACGCCGCGUGAGUGAAGAAGGUUUUCGGAUCGUAAAGCUCUGUUGUAAGAGAAGAACGAGUGGAGAGGGAAAGUUCACACUG
rnacentral:rRNA from 1 species